rnacentral:rRNA from 1 species
CUACGGGACGCAGCAGUGAGGAAUUUUGCGCAAUGGGGGAAACCCUGACGCAGCAACGCCGCGUGAGCGAAGAAGGCCCUCGGGUCGUAAAGCUCUGUCAAGUGGGAAAAAAAUCUUUUAAUCAAUAGUUAAAAGACUUGAUGGUACCACUGGAGGAAGCACCGGCUAACUCCGUGCCAGCAGCCGCGGUAAUACGGAGGGUGCAAGCGUUGUUCGGAAUUACUGGGCGUAAAGAGCGUGUAGGCGGUUUGGCAAGUCAGAUGUGAAAGCCCCGGGCUUAACCUGGGAAGUGCAUUUGAAACUGGUUGACUAGAGUAUGGGAGAGGAGAUUGGAAUUCCUGGUGUAGAGGUGAAAUUCGUAGAUAUCAGGAGGAACACCCGUGGCGAAGGCGAUUCUCUGGACCAAUACUGACGCUGAGACGCGAAAGCGUGGGGAGCAAACAGGAUUAGAUACCCUGGUAGUC